UGGUUAACUGCAAGUAAGAGUCAUUUGUUGGGGCUUGUAUCAUUGUGAGCUAAAAUUGUCUUUUACAACUUUUUUUUUCCUCCUCAUUCUAGUUUACCUUUUCUCCCCCUCCAAUUUUACCUCUUCUUUAUGUAUGCCCUUUUACUGCCGAGUUGUGGCACAAGUUUAGUGUUAUCUCCAAGUAACGGAAGUAUGUCAGAACUAUAUGUGCUCCAAAAGACUAAUGCUCAACAGCUUUGUUUGCUGUUGUUCCUCUGUGUGCUGGUGCUCCAAAAGAAUAAUGCCUGGCUGCUUUUUGCUGACUCGGAGGAUUGAAUAACUUGAUACCAGAUACUUGAAGUACGUUAUUUUUACCUUCUUUUUUUGGUUUCGAUUAUUGGAAGUG
rnacentral:lncRNA from 1 species